CAGGACAAAGGCUGCCGGACACUUAGUCUCUGCUUCCUGUCCUACGUUGCUUCCUGGUCUUUCCUUACUUCCUGCCCCACUUUGCUUCCUGGUCUUUCCUUACUUCCUGCCCCACUUUGCUUCCUGGUCUUCCCUUACUUCCUGUCCCACUUUGCUUCCUGGUCUUUCCUUACUUCCUGUCCCACUUUGCUUCCUGGUCUUUCCUUACUUCCUGCCCCACUUUGCUUCCUGGUCUUCCCUUACUUCCUGCCCCACUUUGCUUCCUGGUCUUCCCUUACUUCCUGCCCCACUUUGCUCCCUGGUCUUCCCUUACUUCCUGCCCCACUUUGUUUCCUGGUCUUCCUUUACUUCCUGCCCCACUUUGCUUCCUGGUCUUCCCUUACUUCCUGUCCCACUUUGCUUCCUGUUCCUGUUCCACUUUACUU
rnacentral:lncRNA from 1 species